rnacentral:rRNA from 1 species
CCUGGUUGAUCCUGCUAGUACUCAUAUGCUUGUUUCAAAGAUUAAGCCAUGCAUGUGUAAGUAUGAACUAAUUCAAACUGUGAAACUACGAAUGUCUCAUUAAAUCAGUUAUAGUUUGUUUGAUGGUACUUGCUACUCGGAUAACCGUAGUAAUUCUAGAGGUAAUACGUGUAACAAACCCCGACUUCUGGAAGGGACUCAUUUAUUAGAUAAAAGGUCGACACGGACCUAGUCCAUUGCUCUGAUGAUUCAUGAUAACUUGACGGAUCGCACGGCCUUUGUGCUUGCGACGCAUCAUUCAAAUUUCUGCCCUAUCAACUUUCGAUGGUAGGAUAGUGGCCUACUAUGGUGGUGACGGGUGACGGAGAAUUAGGGUUUGAUUCCGGAGAGGGAGCCUGAGAAACGGCUACCACAUCCAAGAAAGGCAGCAGGCGCGUAAAUUACCCAAUCCUGACACGGGGAGGUAGUGACAAUAAAUAACAAUAACGGGCUCUUCGAGUCUUGUAAUUGGAAUAAGUACAAUCUAAAUCCCUUAACAAGGAUCCAUUGGAGGGCAAAGUCUGGUGCUAGCAGCCGCGGUAAUUCCUGCUCAAAUAGUGUAUAUUUAAGUUGUUGUAGUUAAAAAACUCGUAGUUGGAUCUUGGGAUAUGUAUGUCGGUCCGCCUUAUGGUGUGCAUUGUCAGUCGCGUCCUUUCUGCCGACGAUGCAUUCCUGGCCUUAAUUGGCCGGGUCGUUCCUCCAGCGCUGUUAUUUUGAAGAACUUAGAGUGCUCAAAGCAAGCAUUUGCUCUGUAUACAUUAGCAUGGGAUAAUGUCAUAGGAUUUCGAUCCUAUUCUAUUGGCCUUCGGGAUCGGAGUAAUGAUUAACAGGGACAGUCGGGGUCAUUCGUAUUUCAUAGUCAGAGGUGAAAUUCUUGGAUUUAUGAAAGACAAACAGCUGCGAAAGCAUUUGCCAAGGAUUUUUUCACUAAUCAAGAACGAAAGUUGGGGGCUCGAAGACGAUCAGAUACCGUCCUAGUCUCAACCAUAUACGAUGCCGACUAGGGAUCGGCGAAUGUUGCUUAUAGGACAUCGUCGGCACCUUUCUGAGAAAUCAAAGUCUUUGGGUUAUGGGGGGAGUAUGGUCGCAAGGCUGAAACUUAAAGAAUUGAUGAAAGGGAACCGCUAGGAGUGGAGCCUGCGGCUUAAUUUGAGUCAACACGGGGAAACUUACCAGGUCCAGACAUAGGAAGGAUUGACAGACUGAGAGCUCUUUCUUUUUUUGAUAAGUAUGUUUAAAUAAAGAAAAAGCUUUACAAAAGGACGGGAUCGAUUGCGGCCAGGGGGCGGACCUAUGCUUUGACGGGCCAGCCCAACCGCCAUAACCGAGUGCAUGCUGGACAUAUCGGUACCGGGGGUACAAGAUACUUUGGCCGAUUAAGCUACAAAAGAUUCCAAAUUCUCCACAAGUGCUGGGAAAAUUUCGAACAUGAUCUUAAAAACUUUCCUCUUGAUGGAUGCUGCAAGUUGUGUCGGUUGCUGGAAAGUCUUGUCAAAACACCUUGCAUUGCGCGCUAACCAAAGAUGGUAGGUUGUGCAGGCCAUGGUGGUUUUGUAGAUGUUGUCGGAGAAAAGGGCCCUUCGGCCGGAUUUGGUCGUCCAUUUGAGAGCAGUGGCGAUGGUAGUUAGCCGCCGGUGAAUACUGAUUCUUUGUUU